AAAACAAUAUACUAGGGACUUAGCGCAAAAAACCAGAACAAAAAAAGACCUAGAAAAGAUAGGCCGCUUCUUCUUAAAAAAAAAGAACAAAAAACGUAUGGACCAAGCGAGAAGAUCCUGAAGCUGCUGCACAACGCAAAACGACCCCCACCCCCUUGAAACCUCAUCUCCUCCACACCACCCCAGCAGCCGGAACACAAACGACCCCCACCCCAUCGACUCGCCUACUUCAACAACAACAGCCACCGGACCUCAUGACUCACCCCAUCGCCGGGAACUCGCAUACACCACCUGCAUCCAUCUCCCUCGACACACACGCACAGAAACGAGAAACAGAGAGAACGAGAGUAGAAGGGAGGCAGCGAGUUUCAGUCAAAAAUUGAGUGAACGUUAGCUCCGAGCUUGGGUGUCGAGUUUUUCGGUAUCGUUUCGAGGUUCCGUCCGCGUCUUUGUCCGUUAUUCAAGCUUCAAAACAGUGUUGUAAAGCGUGAAUAAUGGGGCCGAGGUGGAAAGGAAAAGGGGCCGAAGUUAAAGCUCUUGCAGAUCCCAUUUCAGAAAUAGUAAUCCAGCUUCAAUCUUCUCUGAUCUGCUCAAACUCUCGAGGACUGCUUUCUGAUACGAAUGUGCUUCUUAAAGCAGACACAGAACAAACUGAGCUCCUCAAUCGUGCAUGUUUUGGUAGGCCCAGGGUAACGACAGAAAAGAAUGAGCAAUGGUUUCAGCUCUGCAUGGAAGAAGCUUUUUACCUUCAGUAUUCUCUAAAAUGCAUUAAGGUUGUUGACCACAAUGACACUGAACUGAACAGUGAUGAGGUAUGGAGGCAUAUGACAUCCAGGAGGGAAAAUUUUCCUAUCUUAUUCAAAGCUUUUUCUCACCUUAGAAGUAAGAACUGGGUGGUUAGAUCGGGCUCCCAGUACGGGGUAGACUUUGUUGCUUAUCGUCAUCAUCCUGCUCUAGUACAUUCUGAAUAUGCUGUGCUUGCUUUAUCUUCACAAAGUGGUAGUGCAAAUGGUCGCUUGAGGGUUUGGUCUGACUUCCAUUGCACUCUUCGACUUUGUGGUAGUGUGGCGAAAACGUUACUAAUUCUUGACAUUGAGCAACAACAAAGUUGUGCAACUAAUCCGUCGUGCUUAGAUAACUAUGUUGUUGAAGAGAGAACAAUCACAAGAUGGAGUUCGGAGCAAGGCCGCAAAACAAAACCUAUGUUUGACCCAAGUAAAAAGUAGAUCGUCUGGUUCAAGAUUAACUCCUACUUCACAUGUUGUACUAGUUUAGCAAUUGUAAUGUGAUUUAGAAGCAUUACGAUUAAUACUAUGUAUUACUAUUAAUACUUUGCAUACUGUAUUUAUUCCUACAACUUUGUUGCAGGCAUUUUGGCCGACUUUUAUGCCCAGCAAAAUGUCUGGUUGCUGCAAGCCCCCUACAGAAUGUGGCUAUACUUGCAUGAAUGAGAUAGUGAGGAGUUCUGGAGGAGGGCUGGUACGAGGUGAUCCGGGUUGUGUUAGAUGGAACAAUGAUCAACAGCAGCUCUACUAUAACUGCAAUUCUUGUAAAGCUGGUGUUCUGGCAAGUCUAUCUUAUUACCUAUGUUUGGCAUUUCUAUCUUAUUAGAACAACAUGCUUUAUUCAUACUUUCAUAUGCUCCCUUUCUCCCUCAAAGAGAAUUGGCUGUAAAUCUCGUAUGAGUUGUUCUGUUCUUUUUUUAUAUAAUUAAUUUCUUUUAUGCCUGGGUUUCUCUUUGAAUUGGUUUUGGAGGCAGGUUAGUUCUUUCUGGAUGUAGCAACUUGCUAUAAGAGAUAAAAACAUUCAUGUAAGCUUGACUUUGACUUAAAAGAGCAUCGAGGGUGAAAUAAGAAGGCAUAGUUUACCAUUUUGCUGGGCAUAAAAGUCGGCCAAAAUGAUUGCAACAAAGUUGUAGGAAAAAAUACAGUAUGCAGAGUAUUAAUAGUAAUACAUAGUAUUAAUCGUAAUGCUUCUAAAUCACAUUACAAUUGCUAAACUAGUACAACAUGUGAAGUAGGAGUUAAUCUUGAACCAGACGAUCUACUUUUUACUUGGGUCAAACAUAGGUUUUGUUUCGCGGCCUUGCUCCGGACUCCAUCUUGUGAUUGUUCUCUCUUCAACAACAUAGUUAUCUAAGCACGACGGAGAAGUUGCACAACUUUGUUGUUGCUCAAUAUCAAGAAUUAGUAACGUUUUCGCCUCACUACCACAAAGUCAAAGAGUGCAAUGGAAGUCAGACCAAACCCUCAAGCGACCAUUUGCACUACCAUUUUGUGAAGAUAAAGCAAGCACAACAUAUUCAGAAUGUACUAGAGCAGGAUGAUGACGAUAGGCAACAAAGUCUACCCCGUACUGAGAGCCCGAUCUAACCACCCAGUUCUUACUUUUAAGGUGAGAAAAAGCUUUGAAUAAGAUAGGAAAAUCUUCCGUCCUGGAUGUCAUAUGCCUCCAUACCUCAUCAUUGUUGUCAACAACAGCUUCUUCCAUGCAGAGCUGAAAUCAUUGCUCAUUCUCUUUUGCCAUUACCCUGGGCCUACCAAAACAUGCAGGAUUGAGGAGCUCAGUUUGUUCUGUGUCUGCUUUAAGAAGCACAUUCGUAUCAGAAAGUAGUCCUCGAGAGUUUGAGCAGAUCAGAUAAGAUUGAAGCUGGAUUACUAUUUCUAAAAUGGGAUCUGCAAGAGCUUUAACUUCGGCCCCUUUUCCUUUCCACCUCGGCCCCAUUAUUCACGUUGACAACAAAAAAAUAUUCUAAAUUCACGAUAUUCCUGUUUACACAACUAACAUUGCACCAAAGAAUGCAACCAAUCAGUUACAUAACCAUACAACAUAUGCUCAUAGAAAAAUAGACACCAAUUAGAGAAUUUUCAAAGUGUAAAGUAAAUUGCAUUUUGCAACCACGCUUAUAAAGUCUUUCCUACAACAUUAUAGAAUUCAUGAAAUGUUGUGUCUUAUUAUGUCCAACCUACUUAAACUUAAAUGUAUGAAAUGGUUGUUCCAAUGUCAUGCUGUGAAAGCACUUUGUCAUACAACAAUUGGCAGUAGCAAAGUGGUAAAACAACCGUAAUAAUCCAAUUAAAGAAUCCAUCAAGCACAACAUGGCCUAGAGAAAGAAAGCAAACACAAUGCACACUCAAUUCAGAAAUGAUAGCAACUAAAGAAGAACUCAUCCCUCCAUAAGCCCAAAUGGAGCUUUUCGAGGAGUAUAUUAAAAAAUAUGGGAAAAGGGAGCCACACGAGAGUGAGAGCACUGCUGAGAUUUUUAUGGCUACCAAUCAUUUUCACCCAAUUUUGAGGGGUUUCAAGGUGUGUUCAUUUAUGUUAAAUAUGGAAACAAUCCAUAAAAGAGAGAAUACACUAUGGGGAUCUAAGUGUAGGAGGAUAAUACGCUUACUUGGAGCACUGAACCACCCAAAAUAAGGUUUAGACAGAAUACCUACCAUUCAUGUCGCAUGUAGCUGACCAGCACAAGUAUAGUCAUGUUAAAAAGUUAUGGUAAAAUAAAAUGUUGGAGAAAGUCUCCAACCAUUUUAUGGAUUAUGACUUUUUUCUUUACUAGAAUCUGUCGCCCUUUUUUUACCAGAUGAUUUCAUAGUUUCCAGUUAUGCCAUUCAAAUUCCCAAGUAAGAGAAAAGAAGAUUUUGGUUGUUUUCUAACUGAUACUUGUACGCCCAUUUGAAAUAUCGCAGCAAAGUGAUAUUCACCUAGAAGAUUAUCAUGCAGAAUCUGGAUUUGGAACCAUUAUCAAAACAUGUUUAUCCACGGACCCAAAGUCAAAUAAAGCAAAUAUCUUCUUCAUUCCCUGUCAUAUGCACUAACUUAAAUAUCAACUUGCAGAAUACUUCAACUCCAAAAUAGUAAGCAAUAUUUCAGCUAUAUAAUAGCCACACAAUUACUAUGCAGAUCCUUUGUCAUCCGGGUUUGAAUUUCUCGUUUAUAAUAGUAAAAGGCUUUACAUUUUGACACAUAGGAAAGGUAGAGAAAUUCUGUGCAAGAAGAACGCAAAGAAUACGCAUAAAAACUGAAGAUAAAAGAGUGAAACUUAACAUAGUAAAAGCAUCACUCUACUGAGCAAAAAAUCAAAUACCUCGCAGGCGGCAAGACAUGCAACAACAGACACAUUCAACAGCUCAAUAUGCAUAAAGUACAUGCAUCAAUCACAAAGUUAUGGUCAUUAAGAAAUAAAAUACCUUUAUACGGAAGCAUCAAACACAAAGGGCUUCAGACGCGUAAUCACAGUCAGCUUUCGAACUCUUUAUGCCUUCCUCAAACUUCUUAGAACAAGACACGAAACUCAGAAGAAAGCAAAAGCAAAUUUAAUUAAUUUAAACCUGAAUUAGACUCAAUGUGUGGGACAAAGUUGUCUCCCAUUGUUUUGAUAAAAAGUGGAGAAGAAGAUCGUGAGAGAUGGGAAAAUAUGUAUAUUGAGUUUCUAUGGUUUGUUUAGGUAGAUUGAUUAUUUUAUAUUAUACUAAUUUUACUUAUACAUUCAAUUUGCUUGCUUGUCUUUGGAGAAGAAGGAUUUGGGAUUGGGUUGAUCCAGAUGGGUCGGUAUUUUAUAGGUCUGGUCAAAUAUUUAUAUACCACCUAUAUUUCAUUAAAUAAUAUUAGUGUAUACGGCGAAAUCAGAGGAUCCAAUUCCUCGUCAUCGAGGCACCUCUGAACAUUGUCUCGAUGCUACAAGACCAUGGUCGAGUUUCCUCCCUCGAGGCUCGUCGACACCUGGCCUUAGGACAAUGUUGAUCACGGAUAUGAUAGAAAUGAGGAGUUCUCAAGGCACAUGGCGAAGACUGACAGAGCCUAGUGGAUUACUCUAAACACGAAUCAGGGUGUUAUCUGGCUGUUCCAUCUCUGUAUCUUUGUCAUUAAUGCAUUUUGUACUAUCUUUGGAACUUAAUUCAUCGACAAGUAAAAUCCAUACAGCAAGUGUGACAAUUGAUUGCAUAGAACUUGUUGAAGGGGAUCAGACCUCAUCAAGAAUCAAAAGAAAGGUAGGAGUAGUUGACACAUUGAAUCAAGAUAUUGUGGUGAAGGAAUUUGAAACUGGAAAGCCUAAAGUGAGAAUUCUCACAAUGAACUUCUCCAUGGACUGCAAAGUACCGAGCAGUGCAGAAAUCAUAACACCAAUUUGCCAGUCAAGAAUACGGAGAAGUGUCUGAAGGAAGGCAAUCUUUUGAUUAUACCCCCACGGAAUGCAGUUCCAUUUUCUGAUGAAUGGUUGGCAGCAGUGGAAGCUGCUGGGGAGGAUAUCUUAACCUGGAAAGGUGGUGCUUUACAAAAUUCACCCCAUGGUCUCCGGACCAAAAUGCAUCUAACAACUAACAGUAAAGUGUCAAGAAACAGACCAAUCAUAAAGGGGAAGGUUAUCCAGCCACCAUUUUUGCGGCUGUCUGAAGAGGAGAGUCUUGCUCUUUCAUCAUCACAACUGGCUGAAUUAUCCAUUGAUAUUAGCCAAUUUAAUAGCAGUGAUAUUUCUUCUUUUUGGAUAUGGAGUUUCAAGUUUUUAUAAGUAAGCAACUUUAUGCAAGACUGCUAGACCCCAGGUCACUGAUUUUAUAGGCCACCAUGUUCAUUUAGUUGGCUCUUUUGUCUUUCUUACGUUCAUGUAAAGUAAUUCCGAUAACUUUUGUGUUUAAAUUAGAAAUCGUUACUAUUUAUUUUUAA